rnacentral:sRNA from 1 species
AAUAAAAAAUUUGCAUAUCUAUAUUUUUCUCUGACCAUGCGAAACUCAUGAACGUGCGAAUGUGACACGACGCGAGUGAUUAUUACCUGGGAAGCGAUACUGGUCCGAGGUAUUCGCACAAGACGUUUGGAGGCCAUACAAAUCAUUAUAAUCUUCAUGCAAACACGUUUCCGUGAAUAAUUAAUAUUCCAUUCGAAGGGCAACAAUUGAUUAGAUAUGAUCGAUUUGUACGCUUACCAGAGUAAAAACUUUGAUGUGGCGAAACUGAUGUUCCAUAAAGCCCUGAUCAUAUUUGUCUCGAUACGGAGUACCUGAAGGAAACCUUAUCAGGGCCCGAUGGAAAAUCAGUACAAAUUCAUCAUGUCUAAUCAAUUAUUGUCCUUCGAACGGAAUAUUAAUUGUUUACGUAAACGCGUUUGCAUGCAGAUUAUUUAUGGUGCUUCCAAACGUCUUGUGCGAAUGCCUCGGACGAGUAUCGCUUCCCGGGUAAUAAUCACUCGUUUCGUGUCACAUUCGCUCGUUCAUGAGUUUCGCGGGGUCGGAAGCAAAUAAAGACAUGCACAUUUUUAUUGCACCUGCACGAAUUUAUCAUCUUCACGCUUUGGGUGUAAACAAGUUUUUGACUUUUCGCUGGUAUACAUAAAAGCAAUUGCGAUUCUGAGUGCAAAGGAUAUUCCACGUUCACGAUUUGAAAAGAACGAUCACAGCAGAAACCGUUUCGUCUUCGACUUCGCUGCAAUACUCAACUGAACAGCGAUGAAGCUGAUUGUGGCGUACUUGCUUGCUGUGACUGCGGGUGUGGCUAUGACCCAGGGUCUGGUAUGUAC